AAAAGUCAGUAUCUACUCCAAUAAAUUCAAGCCUUUUAUUUAAUUAAAUAAACAAUCUUUCUGAUUUAUUGAGUGUCAAGUUGUUCUUCUAUGUAUGUUAACAAUAGUCAAGCACAAUUCCAUUGAGAGAAGAUGAUGAUGAGGCUAUGAAUAUCAAAGGGCUUAAAGAAGAUACCAGAAGCUUCCUGAGUAGAAUGCCUGUCGUGCAGAAGAGAAGUUUUGUUCCGUCGUUCCUGAACAGUCAGACACAAGAAUGAAUUACUGCAGAAUUCCAGAAAUCAGAA
rnacentral:lncRNA from 1 species